CUAUCUUCCAAGACCGUAAAUCCGCAGUGGCAUAGUAAUACCGAAUAAUAUUGGUGCCGUACCACUCAUUUGUUUAGAUAAUAUUGUUAAUUAUUGAAAAUAAUUAUGUUCCAUAAUAAAUUGUUCGUUUCGUCGGUUUAAUAUUAUUUUAUUCUGUAGACUAUGGUGUCACUCCGGUAGUCCGGUGUAAACCGCAUUCACACUACACCGGGCGAGCCUCUGAUAUACGUGUUUAUAAUAGUCAUGAAUAAUUAUUAAGUAAUUUUUAUUUCGACAUAUUAACAUUGAAAAAUUCAAGUUUCAACGUCGUCGUCUCUACUUUAUACACGUCAUAUAUAUUUUUUUUUGUGAUAUUAAUCG